GACUAUGGCCACUACCUUUGGGCGGCAACCUGCAGUCAAGUCCGGUCAGGUCGGUUAUGCGACAAGCAACGCUGCAAGGAACCAUCAGAUAGACCAGAUAGCUCGCCUUCGUCGUCUUCCACGAAUAUAAAGAUCGGUGAAAUUAACAAGGUCAAGUCAACGGUCAAGUUCUCGACACCUUCACGAUAGCCGUAGUUCCGGAAAUCCCCCGCAAGGACAAACUCGACGAUAAGCCCCGGAAUCAGCCGCCGUCGUACAACUUGCUGAUUGCGCACCCCACGCGGGAGCUAGCGGAGAGGCUGUCUCUGUGCCUUUCCAAUGAUUGCUAUCUGAAUAACAAGAUGUCAUCGAUGUCGUAAAUGUGUUCAAGAACCUCCACUCGAACCUACCUCCAACGCCGGCCAAUCCGCA